CGGGGGGAGCAAGCGUUGUUCGGAUUUACUGGGCGUAAAGGGCGCAUAGGCGGUCAGCACAAGUCAGUUGUGAAAUCUCCGAGCUUAACUCGGAAAGGUCAACUGAUACUGUGCGACUAGAGUGCAGAAGGGGCAACUGGAAUUCUCGGUGUAGCGGUGAAAUGCGUAGAUAUCGAGAGGAACACCUGCGGCGAAGGCGGGUUGCUGGGCUGACACUGACGCUGAGGCGCGAAAGCUAGGGGAGCGAACGGGAUUAGAUACCCCGGUAGUCCUAGCCUUAAACGAUGAAUGCUUGGUGUCUGGGGUUAUAUAGUCCCCGGGUGCCGUCGCUAACGCUUUAAGCAUUCCGCCUGGGGAGUACGGUCGCAAGACUG
rnacentral:rRNA from 1 species